CUUAAAUCCCCAAAUGACGACUAGUGUCCAAAUACAGGUGGAAGAAAUGUUUCAAUUUAGUUGGUUUUAAAGGAAGCUAUAUUUCGUUUUGAGACUGGAUUAAGUUGGUGCUUCGUGCCAAGAUUUGGAAACAUUUGAAAGUCUUGGUUUUUUAGACUUAGGGGCUGCAAUGCACUCCUUAAAUCCCCAAAUGACGACUAGUGUCAAAAUAUAGGUGCAAGAAAUGUUNUAUGUUUGGUGGUGACACUGGACUAAGUUGGUGAUUGGUAUCAAGUUUUGGAAAUUGUUGAAGGUCUUGGUUUUUUAGAGUUAGGGGCCGCAAUGCACUCUUUAAAUACCCAAAUGACGACCAGUGUCAAAAUAUAGGUGCAAGAAAUGUUUCAAUUUAGUCGCUUUUCAAGCAAGCUAUGUUUGGUUGUGAGACUAGACUAAGUUGGUGCAUCGUGCCAAGAUUUGGAAAGAUUUGAAAGUCUUUGUUUUUUACAUGUAGGGGCUGCAAUGCACGCCUUAAAUCCCCAAAUGACGACUAAUGUCAAAAUAUAGGUGCAAGAAAUGUUUCAA
rnacentral:lncRNA from 1 species